UGGAGGAUUGAGAAAGUUAAGUUGCUCUUAAGUGCUGCUCCAACUGGUUACAACCUCCAAAAGAAAAAGCAAUGCAUUCACUUAAAUUCACACUGCUGUGUGCAAGAGUGACGUGAUGCUUGUGAACAAAUA